UUUACUAGAUCUUACACAUAUGGUAGGACUCUUUGGGCAAGUGAUCACCUCGUCGCAAUUCCCGAAGUUGACUUCAUGUAAUACUAUUCACUGUGUAGUUCCUUCUAGAAAAACCUACAGAUAUGUUAGAAAUCUUAUUUGUUUAACCUUCAGUCCUUCAUUGCCUGCCUUUUGCCGGGGAGGGGGGGGAGAGGGGUGCAAAAUCCAUAUUUGUAUCGAAACAGUACUGGUUUCCUAUGUGCAAUGAAUUAUGCUUGGGUAAGGACUCCAGAAAUGUGCUUCCCCUCUCACCACAGAUGAGUUAAUGAAGAUCAGUGACUUGUGCAGUUUUAUCCUUCGUCUAAAUAUAUUAAAUGAGAAUGACUUAUUGCCAUGUGUAAUAUGCAGAAACAGAUAAAGAAUAUAUUUCGGCACCCUUAUCAUAAGCUCUGACAUGUAGUCUUCAAGUAUCCCACAUGAAGACAACAGUCAAAUUGAAAUUGCGAAGUUGCUUACAUGCCAUAUUACACAAGAGAGGGUUAUUCUUCAUGCAGGAUUAGUAAUUGCAUGUUUGUCUUUCAGUGCACUGCUUACCAGAGCAAGAGAUAAAAUACUUAGAUUUCAGAAUGAACUCAGAGUAGGGGAACUGCAUAACUGAAUAUGAGAGUGAACCACAUUCCCAGAGAGAGCAUGCAAAGGGGGAAAUCAUGAGUGCGUUGUAGGAAGAGUUGUAUGUCCAGAGAGGAGGAGGCAAAAGAUGCUGUUCCAAAGGAUGCUGCCAUGAUAAAGACAGUAUAAUCAGAGAGGAAGAGUUCAAACUUAGCCAAGCAUGGAAUCUCAGCACCAGAUUUUUAUGGCAUUUGAAAACAUACAUCAUGAAAAUCCCAAGAAGACAGAGUAUUCAUCCUAGUGUGUACGACAAUGAAAUGGAAAGUGUGUAAAUCAGCGCUAACACUAUUUCCUGUAUUUAAUUGUGAUUAAGAGAGGUUGUAACCAAAGUGACAAUAACUCCAAC